GAUGAACGCUGGCGGCGUGCUUAACACAUGCAAGUCGAACGAAGCAUUUAAGACAGAUUACUUCGGUUUGAAGUCUUUUAUGACUGAGUGGCGGACGGGUGAGUAACGCGUGGGUAACCUGCCUCAUACAGGGGGAUAGCAGCUGGAAACGGCUGGUAAUACCGCAUAAGCGCACAGUACCACAUGGUACAGUGUGAAAAACUCCGGUGGUAUGAGAUGGACCCGCGUCUGAUUAGCUUGUUGGCGGGGUAACGGCCCACCAAGGCGACGAUCAGUAGCCGACCUGAGAGGGUGACCGGCCACAUUGGGACUGAGACACGGCCCAGACUCCUACGGGAGUCAGCAGUGGGGAAUAUUGCACAAUGGAGGAAACUCUGAUGCAGCGACGCCGCGUGAGUGAAGAAGUAGUUCGCUAUGUAAAGCUCUAUCAGCAGGGAAGAUAGUGACGGUACCUGACUAAGAAGCUCCGGCUAAAUACGUG
rnacentral:rRNA from 1 species